rnacentral:lncRNA from 1 species
AAAGAAGAUGGGGAAAUUUCUUGCUCUGAUGAAUAGUAUUAUUGACUCAUGGAUGGGCCCCAGCUCCAUGGACAUAGCAAUGGAUAUAGGCAUUGCCUUUAUGUGUGGAGCAGGGCUCUUUUUCCUAUUACAGCGCUUCCUGAAGGACUGCCCAGUGUCACCACCACCUGAAAGAGAAAGGGACAUCCCAAAGGAUGUGAAGAGGGGGCCCAGCAAGACCAGGAAGAAAACUGUUACUGUAAAAGGUGGCAGAGGUGGCAGAAAACAUGUGGAAGAGACCCAAACUCCAUCACAGCCUAUGAAAAUAGACAAGAAAACAAUAGGGGUGUUUCAAGAUGAGCCAACCCUGUGAAGACCCCACCCAGGUCUGUGGUCCAAUGUCUUCCCUUCACUGUCCCACCUUGAUUUAUUUGUCACUGUACAGAAUAAAGUGCAGUGAUAACAAUCACAAAUUUCCAUCCCCAGUUCCAAAGUAGGAGUAUCUCUACCUGCAUGCAUUUCUAGGACAGGCACAGAGAACACCUAUCCCAGGAGACCCUACUCAACUUGAUGCAGGCUGAUCCCCUAUCAAUGCUUACCUCAGCCUGGGUGAUAUGGCUGUUACUAUCCAGUCUGCUUUCCUCUCUGAAUAGAGCAGGGUCCAGAAUACAACCUGUAGUGUAUGAAAGUCGGUCCUUGCUGAAGGCCAUGUCACACAGGCCUGCCCAGAAACACAGCAAAGC